UUUACAGAACAUUUCCGGGUGUCAACACAAGUUUAUCAUCGCCCGGACUGACCUCAACAGUUUCUGAUCCCCACCCGGACAGCAUCACAGGAACAUCCAAGCGGCCUGAGGUCAACUCUUAGUGUCGUACCAUCUCAACCAGGCCAGCAUCAUGUGUGUGUGGACAUCAAAGACCAGAGCGGUGUGAACUCCGACACUGUUUGCUACCUCAUCAACAGCGUCCCUAAGCAAGGAUCGACUAAUAACGGAAGUACAAUACCACCAAUAAAUGGAGGCCGUUUCGCGGACACUACACCAGCGAAUGGCUCACAGAUAGUUUGUCAUUCUUCAAGACCUUGCCGCUUCAUAUCCUACACUGAACAGCCUGCCAACACUCCCUGGUGAGUCAUUUCUGGGACUGUGUUUCAGUAUAUAUAUACA